rnacentral:rRNA from 1 species
AGUCGUAACAAGGUUUCCGUAGGUGAACCUGCGGAAGGAUCAUUAAUGAAUUUUAGGACGUUCUUUUUAGAAGUCCGACCCUUUCAUUUUCUUACACUGUGCACACACUUCUUUUUUACACACACUUUUAACACCUUAGUAUAAGAAUGUAAUAGUCUCUUAAUUGAGCAUAAAUAAAAACAAAACUUUCAGCAACGGAUCUCUUGGCUCUCGCAUCGAUGAAGAACGCAGCGAAUUGCGAUAAGUAAUGUGAAUUGCAGAAUUCAGUGAAUCAUCGAAUCUUUGAACGCACCUUGCACUCUUUGGUAUUCCGAAGAGUAUGUCUGUUUGAGUGUCAUGAAACUCUCAACCCCCCUAUUUUGUAAUGAGAUGGGUGUGGGCUUGGAUUAUGGUUGUCUGUCGGCGUAAUUGCCGGCUCAACUGAAAUACACGAGCAACCCUAUUGAAAUAAACGGUUUGACUUGGCGUAAUAAUUAUUUCGCUAAGGACGUUUUCUUCAAAUAUAAGAGGUGCUUCUAAUUCGCUUCUAAUAGCAUUUAAGCUUUAGACCUCAAAUCAGUCAGGACUACCCGCUGAACUUAAGCAUAUCAAUAUAAAAGUCG